CAUUCUGCUCGUUGUCUCGCCCGCAGAUUUCCCGCCAUGUCGUAGUAAACUUUUUUCUGUGUGUUCGCCCGCUGUCUUCGUCCGCACUCACAUUUUAUGGUUUCUGACUGACACUAAAAAGCUUUAGAGACCUGUGAAACCAUGAAGCACGGAGACCAGCAGGUGCCUGUGGCCAUGCAGGACAUUGCAGUGUCGUGUCAUUUCACGUACUGUAGCACGAGAAGUGAAAUAGAAUGUCGUGUUUUUUAUGGCCUAGUUUUGUUUUGACUUUGUCAGUGCAGUUGUAUAAUUGCCACCUGUUAGAGGGACAGACGCACGACAGCAGACCCGUUUGACAAGCGACACAAGAGUUAUGGGCAGUGAUUCAGACUUCUGGAAUCGGGCAAACAAUGCAAUGAGCUUCUGGGUCGCGAUGUAUUAUGUUACGGCGUCCGGGACUGAGUCACAGUUUCACCCUUCACGACGGAUCCGCGACCACAGAAGGAGACGUUCAAUCACCUGACGGGAGAACAAGUCGCGGCUGAGGAGGAAGAUCGUCCUUCUAUUUUCCGUAGAUAUUGAAACAAAAUGUGAAGAGAAAAGAAGUGUUAAUGAAACUCGGGGGAUGUGGAUGAGAAUAAAGAAAGGGGCAGAUGGAUGUCCCUGCUGCUGCUUGUUAUCCACCUUGGUGAAGCGUCGCAAUGGAUUCCAAAUGAUUUAGUUUUUCCCCCCGUCUCAAUCGAUAAGCUUGGGAACCAUCGAUGGGAUUGAAAUGGACAACCUCACGCACGGCAGUGCACGAGUGAACUGUUAGAAGAGGGCAAAUGACUGCUGUGAUGGAUGCUUUUCAUUUGUCAAAUUGAUUCGUUCAGGACUUACGAGGGGCUUGAACACGUGAU
ensembl:lncRNA